CCCUGGCUAGCUCAGCCAGUAGAGCAUGAGACUCUUAAUCUCAGGGUCGGUCAUGGGUUCAUGCCCCAUGUUGGGGG